rnacentral:rRNA from 1 species
UGGGGAAUUUUGGACAAUGGGCGAAAGCCUGAUCCAGCAAUGCCGCGUGUGUGAAGAAGGCCUUCGGGUUGUAAAGCACUUUUGUCCGGAAAGAAAUGGCUCUGGUUAAUACCUGGGGUCGAUGACGGUACCGGAAGAAUAAGGACCGGCUAACUACGUGCCAGCAGCCGCGGUAAUACGUAGGGUCCAAGCGUUAAUUGGAAUUACUGGGCGUAAAGCGUGCGCAGGCGGUUGUGCAAGACCGAUGUGAAAUCCCCGAGCUUAACUUGGGAAUUGCAUUGGUGACUGCACGGCUAGAGUGUGUCAGAGGGGGGUAGAAUUCCACGUGUCGCAGUUAAAUGCGUAGAGAUGUGGAGGAAUACCGAUGGCGAAGGCAGCCCCCUGGGAUAACACUGACGCUCAUGCACGACAGCGUGGGGAGCAAACAGG